rnacentral:rRNA from 2 species
UUAACCGAGGAAGCGCAUCGGAAACUGGGAAACUUGAGUGCAGAAGAGGACAGUGGAACUCCAUGUGUAGCGGUGAAAUGCGUAGAUAUAUGGAAGAACACCAGUGGCGAAGGCGGCUGUCUGGUCUGUAACUGACGCUGAGGCUCGAAAGCAUGGGUAGCGAACAGGAUUAGAUACCCUGGUAGUCCAUGCCGUAAACGAUGAAUGCUAGGUGUUGGAGGGUUUCCGCCCUUCAGUGCCGCAGCUAACGCAUUAAGCAUUCCGCCUGGGGAGUACGACCGCAAGGUUGAAACUCAAAGGAAUUGACGGGGGCCCGCACAAGCGGUGGAGCAUGUGGUUUAAUUCGAAGCAACGCGAAGAACCUUACCAGGUCUUGACAUCUUUUGAUCACCUGAGAGAUCAGGUUUCCCCUUCGGGGGCAAAAUGACAGGUGGUGCAUGGUUGUCGUCAGCUCGUGUCGUGAGAUGUUGGGUUAAGUCCCGCAACGAGCGCAACCCUUAUGACUAGUUGCCAGCAUUUAGUUGGGCACUCUAGUAAGACUGCCGGUGACAAACCGGAGGAAGGUGGGGAUGACGUCAAAUCAUCAUGCCCCUUAUGACCUGGGCUACACACGUGCUACAAUGGAUGGUACAACGAGUUGCGAGACCGCGAGGUCAAGCUAAUCUCUUAAAGCCAUUCUCAGUUCGGACUGUAGGCUGCAACUCGCCUACACGAAGUCGGAAUCGCUAGUAAUCGCGGAUCAGCACGCCGCGGUGAAUACGUUCCCGGGCCUUGUACACACCGCCCGUCACACCAUGAGAGUUUGUAACACCCGAAGCCGGUGGCGUAACCCUUUAGGGAGCGAGCC